CAGUCGAACGAGUUCUCGUUGAUGAUCGGUGCUUGCACCGAGAUUCAACAUGGAACGAGUGGCGGACGGGUGAGUAACACGUGGGUAACCUGCCCUUAAGUGGGGGAUAACAUUUGGAAACAGAUGCUAAUGCCGCAUAGAUCCAAGAACCGCAUGGUUCUUGGCUGAAAGAUGGCGUAAGCUAUCGCUUUUGGAUGGACCCGCGGCGUAUUAGCUAGUUGGUGAGGUAAUGGCUCACCAAGGCGAUGAUACGUAGCCGAACUGAGAGGUUGAUCGGCCACAUUGGGACUGAGACACGGCCCAAACUCCUACGGGAGGCAGCAGUAGGGAAUCUUCCACAAUGGACGCAAGUCUGAUGGAGCAACGCCGCGUGAGUGAAGAAGGCUUUCGGGUCGUAAAACUCUGUUGUUGGAGAAGAAUGGUCGGCAGAGUAACUGUUGCCGGCGUGACGGUAUCCAACCAGAAAGCCACGGCUAACUACGUGCCAGCAGCCGCGGUAAUACGUAGGUGGCAAGCGUUAUCCGGAUUUAUUGGGCGUAAAGCGAGUGCAGGCGGUUUUUUAAGUCUGAUGUGAAAGCCCUCGGCUUAACCGAGGAAGCGCAUCGGAAACUGGGAAACUUGAGUGCAGAAGAGGACAGUGGAACUCCAUGUGUAGCGGUGAAAUGCGUAGAUAUAUGGAAGAACACCAGUGGCGAAGGCGGCUGUCUGGUCUGUAACUGACGCUGAGGCUCGAAAGCAUGGGUAGCGAACAGGAUUAGAUACCCUGGUAGUCCAUGCCGUAAACGAUGAAUGCUAGGUGUUGGAGGGUUUCCGCCCUUCAGUGCCGCAGCUAACGCAUUAAGCAUUC
rnacentral:rRNA from 1 species